GGGAAGAACUGUGGCUCAGUGGGAGAGCAUCUGCCUUGCAUGCUUAAGGUCCCAGGUUCAAUGCCUAACUUUUCA